rnacentral:rRNA from 1 species
UACGUAGGGUGCGAGCGUUGUCCGGAAUUAUUGGGCGUAAAGAGCUCGUAGGCGGUCUGUCGCGUCUGCUGUGAAAUCCCGAGGCUCAACCUCGGGCUUGCAGUGGGUACGGGCAGGCUAGAGUGCGGUAGGGGAGAAUGGAACUCCUGGUGUAGCGGUGGAAUGCGCAGAUAUCAGGAGGAACACCGGUGGCGAAGGCGGGUCUCUGGGCCGUUACUGACGCUGAGGAGCGAAAGCGUGGGGAGCGAACAGG